UACGUAGGGUGCGAGCGUUAAUCGGAAUUACUGGGCGUAAAGCGUGCGCAGGCGGUUCGUUAAGUCAGAUGUGAAAGCCCCGGGCUCAACCUGGGAACUGCAUUUGAAACUGCAUGGCUUGAGUACCGGAGAGGGUGGCGGAAUUCCCCAAGUAGAGGUGAAAUUCGUAGAUAUGGGGAGGAACACCGGUGGCGAAGGCGGCCACCUGGACGGAUACUGACGCUGAGACGCGAAAGCGUGGGGAGCAAACAGG
rnacentral:rRNA from 1 species